UCUUUGAGUCUUUAUGACAGCAACUCAGAUAUUAUUUUCUUUGCAUUUGUCUAUUGUGGAGUGUGUAUUCAUGUUCAUAUGUAUGGGUACACACUAUUUGUGAGUAUGUGCUUGUGCUAGUGCACGUGUGUGUGUGUGUGUGUGCCAAAGGUUGAUGUUGCAUGUGUUUCUCGAUUGUUUUCUACUUUAUAUUGAGCCAGGGUCUCUCACUUUGACCCAGAGCUUACUGAGUCAGAUAGUCUGUCUAGCAAUCUUGUCCCAGGGAUGCCCAGUCCCUGCCUACCAAGCACUUGAUUUAUAGGUAGGACACAUCAACCUGGCAUUUGCUCAGGUAAUGGAGAUCUGAAAACUCUGAUCCUCAAACUUACACAAGCCAGUACUUUUUGCCCACUGAGACAUCUUCCAACCUGCAGAAAUUCCUUAUAUGACUCAUUCCAUCUAAAUGCCACAAUGCUCUUGUGAUAUUCUUGUAAAGUACUAUUUGAUCUCAUUUGUAGAUGAGGAAAUUAAGCCUUAGACAGAAGCGAUUUAUAGAUGAUAAAUAAGUGGCUAAUCUGUGACUCUGAAUCUAUAGAAGGUAAUAAUAAUAAUAAUAAUAAUAAUAAUAAUAAUAAUAAUAGAAAUCUAGUUCUUUUGUCAAUUAAUAAAGAACAAUUUAUGCAGGAGUCACAUGAGCAGAAAGCAGUCUCUUCUACUGCCUGUGACUCAGCUGAAACUAUGACUCAUGGAGCAGUGAAGGUCACCCAGCAAGUCAGAAUCAUCCUGGACUUUAGUAUCAGAGCCAGUGAGUGAGCACUGCAAAUUAGUUGCUGUUCUCAACUCACCUGUCUUCUCCUCUCCAGUCCCCCAGAUUUUUACACCCUUCAGUCCUUCACACCUCCCUCCCUCUUGCAAAUGUGGUCAAAGGUUAGCAAGUAAGGUAUUUAAUUGUGCUGUUUGGAGAAGGAGGAGGGAAGAGAUUGGUUCUAACACACUAAGGAGUCUGACAAAUGUGUCAUUUCCAGCAUCCAAGAAUUGAGCAUCAUCCUAGACCUCACUCCCAGCAUUGGCAUAAUUUAUGAGGCUAGGAAUUCUAGUCCCCAUGAUGGGGCCGAUGUUAAGCAAAAGACAAGCUUUCCUGCCAGAGGAUGCUGAGAAUACAGAAUAUAUCUCUGUUUCCCCUCUGCUGUAUGAUCCACUCUAGAAACAGUAUUGCAAGUCAAAGCCUGUUCUCCUCAGAUACAAAAUAAAAUGGCUGCUUUAUAUCAUGCUCUUAAAUUCCCACAGUGGGUGUAACUGGGUUGAUUAUUUUAUUUACAUUCGUUUUGCAGAAGUGUUGUCAGUGUAAGCCCACCAAUGUUGAACUUGUAGGCAUAAUGAGAAUGUCUAGUUACUGCAAUGGGUUACAGAAUUGGAAGAGUAAGGAUCUGAAGGGGUGUUUAACAGAAAUUUAGUCUCUUAAUCAGGGUAAACCACUAGCUCCCCAAUCUGCAUUAAUUGCUUUUCUCAUCCCUAAGGCAGACUAUCCAACACAAACAGCUUAAGAGAACAACUAUUUCUUUUGGACCGUACAGUUAGGGGAUAUCAGUUCAUUGAAGCCAGAAAGCAGCUGGGUGGUUCCAUGGCAGAAGGAUUUGUUUUGUUCUAGUCUCACUAUGUAGCCCUGGCUGUCCUGUAACUCACUUUGUAGACCAGGCUGGCCUCGAACUCACAGAGAUCCACCCGUUUCUACCUCUUGAGUGCUGGGAUUAAAGGCAUGUACCAUUAUGCCUAGCACAACAGGAGUUUUUGACUUAAUUUGUUUACACAUUAGUAGAGAUAGAAGCAAAGAACCCUAAACAGAAGUGGACUGGGCCAUAACCCUCAAAAACCUGCCUUUGGUGAGCUACCUCUACCCCCAUGCUCCCAGCCUCAGAGGUUCCACAGCCUCCCUAAACAGUACCACCAGCUAGAGACCAAGUGUUCAAACACAUGAACCCAUGGGGGAUAUUAUACAUCUAGACUGUAACACAAGCAUGGGAUUUUGUUCCAGUUUUCUUGGUUUACCUGAAGGUUUGUUUUAUUCUUAUCCAUCACUUACUCCCAAAGCAUAGUUAGCCUUAAAAGAAUAAGAUAGAUUUCCCCCAACCCCCUACAAAGAGGCCUAUGUCCUCUUGCCAAGGUAGGAGACCAGCAGGGGGCCACCUGGUCACACUUUUCUAACUCAAAUAUUACUUUCUGUUUUCUCAGGUUUUGUCCUUUGACUCCUUGGGGCAUCACACUGGUCUCUCAUCCUGGGAACCCUGAGGUGAAGGUCCUCCUGACAGUAGGGCAAUAUGAUGCAGCCUUGGGCUUUUGAUAGUCCUACCUGCUUUUUCCUGGAGAAGUGGGCUGUGACCUCCACUUACCUUAAGUAACCAUUGGUCAGCUAGCUCCCAUCAAGUUCUUCUCUGACCUAGUUGCCCACUUCUCUACUUAUAUUUCAUAGGUUACAAGAGGGGCAGCUUCAGGGUUGCUAUAGAAACCUUUGCUCUACUGACCUUUUUUCCCCCUAAUGAAAAGUGAAAUAAAAAACUUAAAUGAAGCAAUUCAAUAAGGAAUUGGGUGUAUUUUAAGUGUAAUGUUGUCUUUCACUAUAGAGAGUGCUGGAAAGCCUGUACUUCCAAGUCAAUUUGUUUCCUUGGGUGUUUUGUUGUAUUUUUACAUAUCAAGCCACAUAUUCUAAUGGAAUCCUCCAAAAGGAAAAACAAAAACCUGGGAAUUCUCCCUUGGUUGUGUAUGUCACUACUAAAAGGCUAACCCCAUUGUCAUGCCUGUAUUCUAUAGCCUAUAACAAAGUCAACAAAAACAUUUGACAAUACAUGAAGAAGAGAGUUGGGAGUUGGUAGAUCUGAAGUCACAUUUUAACAAGAACAGCUGCUGGGCAUCGGGCAUGCCUGUAAUCCCAGCCCUCUGGAGAUGAGGGGCAGUGUGCUCACGAGUCAAAUGUCUUUCUGUGCUGCAAGACAAGAACAAGCCUAAAGACAAACAAACAAAACCAAAAUACAAAUAUACAUGCAUAAGUACAUGCAUACAAACAAAUCAGCUAAGAGCUAGAGUCGGGCCCAAGAGGUGAGGCCACAAAAAUCCUGUGCAACAAGGUUGCUAGGCAACUGAAAGCAAGACCCCAAGCAAGUUACUGAGCAACAGCAUAAAUCUUUUCUGAGAUUGGAAAAGAGCCCCCAAGAGUGAUAGUAUUGCGGAGUUGUUUGGGGGUUUAUCUAGGCCCUGUUAUUUCCAUAAGUCUCUGAAAAUAAUCUUUAAAUUAAAAAAAAUAAUAAUACUAUAACUUCCUUGUCAGGCUAAGUGGCACGGACCUGUAAUGGUAGCAGUUCAGGAAGUUAAGAUUAGAUCUCAAGGUCAAGACCUGUCUAGGCUACAAAGUGAGUUCACAGCUACCCUGGAUAAUUUAGUGAGUACCUGUGCCCAAACAACAAAAAGAAGUAAAAGAGGGCUAGGGGCAUAGCUUAAUGGUAAAAAUGUUUGUCUAGGAUGCAGGAGGCCCUGGGCUCAAUCCCUAGGCCUUCCCCUCAUUACAUUAUUGAUUGAUGAGGACAACAUGUGUUUUACAAUGUCAGGUAAGAGGUGAACAAACAGUAUAGCAUAGGCUUCAAUUUCUGUUUCUCUGUUAAAUAGCAUCUAAAUAGAGUGUAUUAAUUUGUGUGAACUCAGCUUCAAGGAGCCCUGACCAUGUCAGUGGCUCCCUCUUCUCCAACAAUUUCUAUUCUUCUCACUGAUAACCACUCUCAAUAUUCUUCCUGUAUGUUCUAGAGCUUUCACUAUGUUCCAAGCUGGCCUUUCAUUCCAAGUAAUGGAGAAUCACAGCUCAUGAAAAACUAAUGUGGAGUCAUUAGUAUCUUUUAGUUUUUGUGGCUAAAUGCAAGAUGGGUUUAGGUGGGUCAAGAGGGUCCCAUUUCAGCUUUCAUUUCCAGCAGAAUGGGUCCCAGCACACACCAAGCAGGGACCACAGCUUUUGUAGUUCCAGUGACCCCAUGUAAAUCCAAACAAAAUGUCACCUUUGGCCUACCUAAAACAUUAGCCAAGGAGGAGAAAAAAAAAAGAAAACAGAAGGAAAGUAGGAAGCAAAAACUUAACAAAAGAUAUAUUGGCAUGAUUAAGCUGUCAUCCUUUCCAGCAUAUAACCUGAGUCCUGGGAACCCUAGAGUUUUCAUCCAUCCUGUUCCAAAUGCCCUGACUUGUAUUUCUAAUAUGGUCCCUCCCAAGACGCAAACCUUCAGCAAAGCAGUAGGGGCUGGACCCCAUCACUAAUGGAUUUAGGAAGAAAAAGGGAUACAUUUAAAGAUUCUUUCUAGUUCACAGAAUCCCUAUGGGGGUUAGGAAACGAAGAUCAAGUUUAUGCAAGAAAAAUGACCAACCCACUACAGGGACAAUCUGAGUUCACACUCUUAACCAUCAGCUUGCCUUGAUUUAGAAUCACUGGGGAGCCUGGGGGACUGUUAUGUAUGGCUUUAAUGGAGGUUUCCAGAGAGAAUUAAAUGAGGGAUGUUAGUGCACCAUGGAUAUGGGUGGCAGUAUCUAGAGGCCUGGAUGGCAUAAAGGGGGAGGAAUUCCUGUUUAUUUCCCUCCUGACUCAUCAUGAUACAAACUGAAGUGCUUGGCCAUGUCUUCCCUAGAUUGAUGGAUGG
rnacentral:lncRNA from 1 species